AAGUCGUAACAAGGUCUCCGUUUGGUGAACCAGCGGAGGGGAUCAUUACUGGAGUACUACACUCUCUAACCCUUUGUGAACUAUUAUACCUGUUGCUUCGGCGGCGCCCGCAAGGGGUGCCCGCCGGUCUCAUCAGAAUCUCUGUUUUCGAACCCGACGAUACUUCUGAGUGUUCUUAGCGAACUGUCAAAACUUUUAACAACGGAUCUCUUGGCUCCAGCAUCGAUGAAGAACGCAGUGAAAACGCGAUAUGUAAUGUGAAUUGCAGAAUUCAGUGAAUCAUCGAAUCUUUGAACGCACCAUGGCGCCUUCCAGUAAUCCUGGGAGGCAUGCCUGUCCGAGCGUCGUUUUCAACCCUCGAGCCCCUGUGGCCCCGGCGUUGGGGAAUCUGCCACGGCAGGCCCCUAAAACCAGUGGCGGACCCGAAGGGCCCUCCUCCUUUUGCGCAGUAAGCAUUCGCCUCGCAUCGGGGAGUCCUCGGCGUCCUGCCUCUAAAACCCCCCACAAGGCCCGCUUCGGCGGCACCAAGGUUGACCUCGGAUCAGGUAGGAAUACCCGCUGAACUUAA
rnacentral:rRNA from 1 species